UAAACAAAUAUAAUUUAUCUUUUUCUUCGCUAAAUUUUUACCAUACAUGGCUGAAGACCGCUUCUAUCGAUAGAUGAUAGCCACCAUAUUUCAAACAAAAGUCCACAAAGAGCGUCAGCAUUUUUUUCUUCAUUCCAAGCAGAGAAAAGGAACGGAAGAUCUUCCUUUCCUUUUUGCUUUUCCGUUCCGACCAACUAUGAACCGGCGUUUACUUUUUGAAAAGUUUAUGGCCACUGGGGCAGCCAGGAUGGAACAAGGGAACAGUUGCAUCCCUUAUACUUGUAAUUGACCUGUGAUUUGUUCGGUAAUCUCGUGUAAUUAUCAUUUAUAUAAUAGAUUCGAUUGGUAUAAACCAUUUCAAUAAAAUAUAUA
rnacentral:lncRNA from 1 species